rnacentral:lncRNA from 1 species
UGGUAGGCUUGAUUCAGAGGUGUGGAAUGCAGCUAAGAAUCUGAGUUCUAAUAAGCUCCCAGGUCUGCUGGCUGCCAGAGCACACCGGAAAGCAAAGUCUUAAAGAGUAGCCAGGGUUUUUUUUAUUGCAGUGAAGAGAAUAAAAGGCAUGUGAGGAAAGUAGGUGCAAAUCCAGAAAAGUCUAGAAGGAUGGAAGAGCAUGAUAUGCCUGGAGCGCAGCAAGACCCAGGGAAAGAAGCAGAGGGAGGAAAAAGUCACAAAGGUAGAUGGAGUCAAAAGGAAGAAUUGUAUUCCAAGGUCAAGAGUCUGGGUGGUGUCCCCCACCCCGCCCCCUGAGAACUCUUAAGACAGAGCAUUCCUUUCCACACAUACGUAGUAAUAAUUACUCUAAAGUAACUAUGAAUAUGUCAAUUCUCCCAUUACCUAUAACAUUCCUGGGAAAAUUACAGGAUUCAUUAUGAGACACAAAUGGCUGUCUCAGCGAGAAGCACACAGAACUGACGAAGAACGAUGAGAAAAUGAAGGCAGCUGGGCUCCUCCAUUCAGGACGGCAGUGAGUGAGGAGCAGCAUGCUUUGCUAGGAAUACCCAACUCCGGAGGUGGCAAACCUAUGGCACACAUGCUGCAGUGGGCUGUUUGUAUCACUGAAAGCUCUAGCAGGUUUACCGUCACUACCUAGUUGGUCAAUUCCAAGCACCUGCUUCCUGCUAUUCAAGACACUGCUCUCCCCAUCAAAAAACUGUCCCAACUCACCAAACCAGAUUAAAAGCUAGUUAUCAGUGCCAUCUGAGAAUGUGUAAAAUAUAG